CGAUGAAUGUUAGUCGUCGGGGGCCUAGUGUCUUCGGUGAUGCAGCUAACGCAUUAAACAUUCCGCCUGGGGAGUACGGUCGCAAGAUUAAAACUCAAAGGAAUAGACGGGGACCUGCACAAGUGGUGGAGCAUGUGGUUUAAUCCGAAGAUACGCGAAGAACCUUACCUAGCCUUGACAUAUUUAAGAACUCCGUAGAGAUACAGAGGUGCCUUCGGGAGCUUUCUUACAGGUGCUGCACGGCUGUCGUCAGCUCGUGUCGUGAGAUGUUGGGUUAAGUCCCGCAACGAGCGCAACCCUCGUCACUAGUUACUAACGGUUCGGCCGAGGACUCUAGUGAGACUGCCUUCGUAAGGAGGAGGAAGGUGAGGACGACGUCAAGUCAUCAUGGCCCUUACGGCUAGGGCAACACACGUGCUACAAUGGCCAGGACAGUGAGACGCGAUACCGUGAGGUGGAGCAAAUCUAUAAACCUGGUCUCAGUUCGGAUUGUAGUCUGCAACUCGACUACAUGAAGCUGGAAUCACUAGUAAUCGUAGAUCAGCUAUGCUACGGUGAAUACGUUCCCGGGUCUUGUACUCACCGCCCGUCACACCAUGGGAGUUGAUUUCACCCGAAGCGGGGAAGCUAAACUGGCUACCCUCCACGGUGGAAUUAGCGACUGGGGUGAAGUCGUAACAAGGUA
rnacentral:rRNA from 1 species